GGGGAAACCCACCUUAGAUGCUUGGAAAAUUUAAGCCGUGCGAAAGCACGGCUUAAGUUUCCAAGCAUUGUUGAAAGGUAUCUUAUCCUG
rnacentral:rRNA from 1 species